UACACGGCAUGAUAGCAGCGGUAUCCUUUUUUGCUUUUUCUGCAAAAAAGAUACAAGCGAAUAGCGGGACAAAAC
rnacentral:sRNA from 1 species